UACGUAGGGUGCGAGCGUUGUCCGGAUUUAUUGGGCGUAAAGAGCGUGUAGGCGGUCAGGUAGGUCCGUUGUGAAAACUCGAGGCUCAACCUCGAGACGCCGAUGGAAACCAUCUGACUAGAGUCCGGAAGAGGAGAGUGGAAUUCCUGGUGUAGCGGUGAAAUGCGCAGAUAUCAGGAAGAACACCCGUGGCUAAGGCGGCUCUCUAGUACGGUACUGACGCUGAGACGCGAAAGCGUGGGGAGCGAACAGG
rnacentral:rRNA from 1 species